AAAAAAAAAGAAUUUCUCUUAGACUUUGUAUAUUAAUUUUUAUGGAUAUUUAUAGCCGGCAGCUCUCUCCGUUUAUUUUGUUUGCCCAUUGCGACUUUGUGAAUGCAAAUGCUACGUGUGCCGGCAUUUUUGCUUAUAGUUAUUUGCGCCUUAUUUGUUUAGCGAUUCACCCGUAUUUUGUGGGAAGUAGGGGGCUCCAUUUAACCUUGGGGCUCUGACUCACACCGCACCCCGAUUCAGAUCCACAUCCCCUGACCGACCGGGUCGACUGUACCCGUGCUCUCCGGCACAUUUGCAUAUCUGUCGGAUAGAACUAGGCUAUUAUACAUUUGUAUGUAUGUAUGUACGUGUAUGUAGAUAUAUCGUGAGGCCUCCUAGUCGCUGCUACUUAAUCAGAUAGAUAAAUGAUGCCGCCACCGUUUGGAUGUCGUCAGUCGCCAGACAAACGCCCAGAGCACAGCACCACACAGAUCAUCAGCGAGCAGUCUCCACAUCGCCAGUGGAGGAGAGGCACGGAAACCGGGCCGCCACAUAACACACAGAUAUCCAAUCGCCACAUCUUUUCGAUGUGAGUUCCAAGCUCCGCCGAAGGACCGACCGACCGAAGCAACGCAAUCUGUGAUAAAAGAUAAAGAGCACAUACCAGGAGACAGAUAGUAGACUGCAGCUGUGAUAAAUCUCAACCGGAGACCAAAUAUUUAACUUGGCAAUGACGACGUCUAGCGAUAUGGUGGCGCAGCCAGAUAACCAGAAGAUUCAGAACGAGAACCAGAAAAUCUUGUGGUACGUCAGCAUAGCCCCAUCUUUUUUAUUAAUUGCGAAAGCAUUUUCAAUUGCCUUGCACACGUGCCAUCGAUUCGGGGAAUUAUUACUCUAACAAACCCCCCCACCCCCAGACACAGCCAUAAAUUGCAUUCAUUAGGCAUUGAACCACAUGCAUCCAAUCCAUCUGCUGCUGCUGGUGGUCACUGUUCCCAUUCAGGCCUCUAUUUCGCUCAAUUCACAAUGCUCUGCCAAGUGCGCAGUUUGUUGAUUUAAUUGGCUUGGCAGAAAGGAAACCAACAUAACAACAAAAUGCCUGGCAUAUUUCGCACGUAGUCUGCCGGCAAACAAUACACAAAUGUACAUAUGUAUGUACAAUGUGUGGAAAGCAUUUAUAUAGUAUAUAGGUAUCUGUAUGUAUCUGUGCUGUCCACAUUGAAUGUCUGAUUAACACCUAGAACGAACCAAAUCGAAUCCAAAUGCGAAUAAGUGAAUAAAGAGAGCUGUCCGUCGACAGUCCAGAAACUAUUUAAUAUCACUGUCAUGGAAUUGCUCUCUUUGUAUAAUAUUCGACGAUGCGCUGUGAGGCAAUGAGACUAACCAAACGACUAAACCCAAGUUCCACAUUCAGUUCGUCUGGCCUAACACUGUGUCCUGUCCGUUGAGGUGUUAGCUUAGAUUUCCGCUUUCAGAUCCUCCGCGAAUUGUGAAAUGAAGAGAGCUAUCCGUCGACAGUCAAGUUAAGACCGAUUGUAAUACUGUCAUGGAAUUGCUCUCUUUGUAUAACAUUCGAAAGGCGACGAUUAUAAGAUCGAAUGAAUCGAAUUGGAGUGCUUAAUUUUAAGCCAAACUUGUGAGCGUCCCCCUGGUUAUGGUGUCUAAUCCCUUCCCACCUUUCAGGUGCUUACUUUACUUAGACAACAAACAACGUCUGCCUCUUUCAAAUUCAAGUUUCAAGUGUAUUCUCGGCUGCUCUGCCCGAUAAAUACUUUACAAAAAACAUCUGGAGAAGUUCGACCCGCCCGCUAAUAAUAUGAUGCCCGCAACUUAGAGAAUAGAAAUGCGUUGUUCAGUAGGCAGUUCCUACAGGCCGCCGCGUCCUCGACCGCCGGUUGGUCCUCCCUGCCAUGCUCCGCGUCCGCCGCUGCCGCCGGGAGCUCCUGGCGGUCCACCAGUGCCCCUUCCGCCGCCCGGAGGUCCGCCUCUUCCUCUGCCACGAGCUGUAAGGGAAAUGUCGUUUUUAAUAAUUGCAUUUCGCUGAGGGCCUCACAUACACUGCACGACUGUCUUUAAAAACAAAAUUCAUUUCUAGAUUUCACUGCACAUGGCUUUAUAACAUUUUUUUUUUUAGUUUUUGCUUUCUAAAAAUAAACAUAUACACAAACUU
ensembl:ncRNA asRNA:CR46194 antisense RNA:CR46194